rnacentral:rRNA from 1 species
GAUGAACGCUGGCGGCGUGCCUAACACAUGCAAGUCGAACGAAGCACUCUUGUUGAUCCUUCGGGUGAUACUUUAGUGACUGAGUGGCGGACGGGUGAGUAACGCGUGGGUAACCUGCCCUGUACAGGGGGAUAACAGUCAGAAAUGACUGCUAAUACCGCAUAAGCGCACGAAGGGACAUCCCUUAGUGUGAAAAACUCCGGUGGUACAGGAUGGGCCCGCGUCUGAUUAGCUUGUUGGCGGGGUAAUAGCCCACCAAGGCGACGAUCAGUAGCCGGUCUGAGAGGAUGAACGGCCACAUUGGAACUGAGACACGGUCCAAACUCCUACGGGAGGCAGCAGUGGGGAAUAUUGCACAAUGGGGGGAACCCUGAUGCAGCAACGCCGCGUGGGUGAAGAAGUAUUUCGGUAUGUAAAGCCCUACCAGCAGGGAAGAUAGUGACGGUACCUGACUAAGAAGCUCCGGCUAAAUACGUGCCAGCCGCCGCGGUAACAC